CCCUUAGAUGUUCUGGGCCGCACGCGCGCUACACUGAUUCAUGCAACAAGUUUUGUCCUUGGCCGAUAGGCCUGGGUAAUCUUUGAACGUGAAUCGUGAUGGGGAUAGAUGAUUGCAAUUAUUCAUCUUCAACGAGGAAUUCCUAGUAAACGCAAGUCAUCAGCUUGCAUUGAUUACGUCCCUGCCCUUUGUACACACCGCCCGUCGCACCUACCGAUUGAAUGGUCCGGUGAAAUCUUCGGAUCUGAGAGAUGUCUGAUUAAUUUCGGACGCCUUUUGGAAAAGUUGCUUAAACCUUACCAUUUAGAGGAAGGUGAAGUCGUAACA
rnacentral:rRNA from 1 species